UUGGGUCAUUCUCUCUCAUCUCUUGUCCCCAUUCCCCUCCCUGGACUUCUUGCUCUAGGUUGCUGUCGUGCAGGUCGGGACAACUACAACUGGCACCCGGAAUCUGGGGCUUGACUGUUCCAGGAGAGGAGAAUUUCUGUGUUCAUUAGCGGUACCAGCCCAUCCAUGCAUUGAGGUGCCGUCAACAUGGUUGAUUGUUGGCCUCGAGGGGAAGACACCCAGCAGCCUUACCCAGCGCUCGGGAUCUUCGGGUUCAUGAACACCACCUGAGGCAGCGGGAAACAAUAAAACAAGAUGACUCCUGGACUGUUUGGAGAUAUGCAUGGAGAAGAGGAAAACAGGCAUGCUGAGAUAAAAUAGCCACCCGUCUCCUCCUCCUGAAAACCCCACCUCCAAACUCACCCUUAGUGGGCUCAUGGAUUCUGGACUCUGUGUGAAACUCCCCACUUUUAAUUCCCUUAACCCCUUCUUAUCUCUGCAACCUUACCCUGUUCCCUGCUGGUUCCUCCCAGCAAUGCCUGGUGGGCCUGCCUCCAUGGCCUCACUCCCUGCCUUUCCAACUAUAUCUUUGAGGAGGUGGCAUUCUGCAUUCUUGUGCAGGCCUGACAAAUUCUUUCACUUCUGGGAAAAAUCCCAAGGGACCUCCGCCCUUUCCCAUCCUCACAGACGCCAGGAACCUAUAUCAGCCGUUACAAUUGCAGUCCUCCUCGGCUGGGGAGCUGUAGGAGCAGCUACAACUUCAAGGACAAUAUUGAAGAGUAUGGAGAGAGUGGACAGCCUUGU